rnacentral:rRNA from 1 species
UACGUAGGGGGCAAGCGUUGUCCGGAAUCAUUGGGCGUAAAGCGCGCGUAGGCGGCCCUGUAGGUCCGUUGUGAAAGUCAAAGGCUCAACCUUUGAAAGCCGAUGGAUACUGCAGGGCUAGAGUCCGGAAGAGGCGAGUGGAAUUCCUGGUGUAGCGGUGGAAUGCGCAGAUAUCAGGAGGAACACCAAUAGCGAAGGCAGCUCGCUGGGACGGUACUGACGCUAAGGCGCGAAAGCGUGGGGAGCGAACAGG